AUUUUUUUUUGGUUUUUGUU
rnacentral:sRNA from 1 species